CUGAGUGUAUAUUAACUUGUAGUAUUCAAGAGGGAGCUUUCUUGACUAUUUAUCCACACAGACAGUGAAGGUGGCCUGCAUUGGCACAGAGCAAGUGUAGGCAGCACGUUGGUGCAACCCUUCAGAAGACCUUAGUCACGAGUUAUUGUCAGGAUUUGAUGAGAAGGGGAUGGCAGACAAUGGCCUUUCUCAUACAUUUGAGAAGCUGUAGGUAGCUGUGCCUGGAUACCAGGGUCAGCCAAAAGGACAAGCUGGAUUCAAAUGUGGUCUGCACUUCUAAAGAGUUACAAAAAUUGCAUCUAUCCAGCGCUGGAUGUACAAGACACACCGUUGCUGUGUCAGCAGUGGAUCAUGCCUUUGCUUGCCGGAAUGGACUUGCUUGCUGGCUGGGACAUGGCCAGAGGAGACACUGGUGUGGAGGCACACAUCAGCCCACAGCUCCUCACCGGGGGUUGUCCCACCUGCACCUCCUGGGAGCCUGGCUCCUGCCCAGCUGCUGCAGCUCGGUGUCAACGUGCACGCCCUGAUUAGGUGCCUAGUGGAGGCAGAACUGUCCGUGUGCCUUUAGCUUUUCCAGACUACAAAGAAAUUGAGAAACAAGUGAAGAAAAUGAACAGAAGAAGGACAUAGCACUAACAAAAAAACCUGAAUAAAAGAUAGCACGUGCUGGGGAAAACAAGGAGGGGGCAGAAAUGAAGAGGGGGAGCAGGAAGGGAAGGAAGGUGAGGUGAUGGUCUCCCCAGCACGGGCUGGGGAAGCCUGGUGGCCAGUCAGCUCUGCUUGCGCGAAGGAAACAGUCACCUGUGCUGUUGAGGCGCUUAGCAGGUGAGGAGGGAGUUAGUGUGCUCCCUCAGGGGUAAAGAUACUUUUGUAGAUGUUAAGAUUCUUUUUCCUUCUUCUGUCACAAGAAAUUGUGCCAGUUUGGGACCUUCACAGGGUCAAUUCUGAACUUUCUAGGGUUUCUGGCUGCACAGUUGCUGCUGAAUUUAGUUUUUCCCCACCCAAACUGGGCCUGUGCCCGAUGCUGGUGAGUCCUUUUCUGUGUCAGAGAGGUGGCGUUUCUGCCCUGCUGCAGCCAGACUCUGGGUUCAGGGCAUGGAGAGAACAUGGCCUUGGGGCUUCCUCUCCCCACUGUCCUGGGACAUCUCCUGGCUGGGGCUGGCUACCCCCCUGCAGUGUGCACCAGACCUGCCUGCAGGCUUUGCAGCAGAUGGGGAAAGGAGCUAGGAAGGUGGUGAGAAAGGUCUGUGUGAAUAGAUGUGGGCUUUUGCUGUGCAAACAAUCUCUGCAACAGAGCUUUUGCCAUCUGUGCUGGUCUACAGCUGAAGCUGCCAGAGGAAGGUGCUGGCAGCACCACUAUACUCCUUUGGACACGCUGUCAUUAGCGGAGUUUGCUCCCGGCACUGUCUGAAACUCCGCAGCUCCAAAACAAUAAGCCUUGUCCUCAUGGAGGAACAUUACCAACUUUCUCCAUUUUAAUUAUGCAGUCUUCUCCUUUGAGCCUCCAGCCCUGCAAGUCAUGGGAUGGAGUUGGAGUUCCAGCCUGCUGUUCAAAGAGAGGAGGAAAAGCUGUAGCCCACAUGCUGCGGGAAGAGCUGGAGAUCAGGAACUGUAACAGGCAGUGUUGAAAGGAGGAGCCCCUGUUUAUUUUGAAAAAUGGUGAGAGCUUAAAAACACCCAGGAACAUUGGGUGUCUUGGUCUUCACAGGACUGUAAUUCAAUAUGGACACAGAAGACACAAUAAUCAUUUAGGGUCAUAGCUUCCCUGGGAUGCAACAGUUCAGACACAGAGCUUUGAAACUACAGAUGAUUUGGGACUCAAAGGGAUGGCUGUAGGCAAAAUCUCAGAACAGCCUCCGAAUUGUUGUCAUCGCGCUUCCUGCAUCCUUUGUGCUGAAUCUGAAGCUUUGGUGAUACAUGAAAGAGCCACAUCCUGGCAUCGUGCAGGGAGCUCUCAUUUCAGACUGCAGGAUGCAUUUUCUGGGUGCAGAAUUUAUCAUGAUGGGAAUGCUGGACCGUGAGGGCUCACCAUGGGCCUGCCAGGAGGGUCGGCUGCACCUGGUGGGCGCUCAUCCACCAAAGCUCUGCCCAGGCACGUUGAAGAAGCACAGCAUCAGGAGAGGUCACUGCCACCUCCUUCCCCAACCUGCUGGGGACGGGCUCUGCUCCUCAGCCCAGGUGCCCACACGGGAGCAUUGCAUCACACCCCCCAUUUUCUGUCUCGCCUCUCUUUCCUCACUUCUUUCUGUGUUUCUCUCCCCUGAUGUUCCUCGGUUUCAUCAAAUCUCAGAGGGACGUUCAAUGCACAGUGCCGCAUCAGCGCCAGUGCUUUGUGGUCUGAACUGUGAGAGCUUGCUGGAAAGAUGUUGGCUUGGUUUGGCGCUGGUGCUCCCACAUUUUGCAGCUGUGAACACGUGGAGCUGCUGGCUGGGAACAUCUGCUGAGGGAAGGCGAGCAUGGCAAGCAGAGGUCCUUUCUGAGCUGCCCACCUGGGCGAUGGCAGAAUCGCCCAGCCAGCCACCCGCUCUCUCUGCAGCCCCUGGAGUGAAGCAGUGGGACACAGUUAACUGCUAGCAGGGACAUGUGAACACAUGGAAGCAUUUAUGCCCAUUCUUAAAAAAAAAACCCCGAAACCCAAAAAUUCAACUCUCAGUUCACAAAGUAAUACCAGAUUUUUCCUAUGACAGUGUUUUUAUUCAGGGCAUUUACAGUUAAAAUGCCGCUGGAAGUCAGACAGGAAAAUCAAAUUGAAGAUAACUCUAACUUAAUUAUGAAGGCAAAAAUGCUUCUUUUGAAAACGUAAACAUGUUAUUCUAUUUCCUUCUUACCAAGCCAAACUAAUGUUCCAUUAUUUAUAUAUAUAUUUAUCCUUCUCACUGUGGUUAUUUUCUGAUUGGUUAUUUUCCUGAAGUUCACUGUCACCUGGAGAGCUAUUUACCUCUCUCUAACUUUUACGCAGGUCUAUAGAGAAGUAUUCAACUACUAGGUCCUCUCCUUACUUUUGCCCUUUCAAACUGUUACUAAACAUACUCGCUUUUAAUGAUGAAAACCAAACAAAGAGAAUCUGAAACAUGGAAAUUAUCACCUAUUCUGACACGAGCUACAAAAUAUUUCUUUUGCCAUGAAUUUAAAGUAAUAUACCCUCUUACUAUUCCAGAACAUGUUAUUAAUUUGGUUGAAAGAGCUUAUUUCAUGUGCUGUUUUACAGAUCUGGCAUCUGCAUUUCAUGUAUAUGACCAUGUAACAAAACAGUCCAUAUCGUCUCAUCAUGGUAUCUCAAACACGUAUUGGACAGGGUUUGUUCAUAUUAAAAAACGGCUUCUUCAGGAUAACAGCAUAUAUCAAACUAAUAAUACGGGCACCUGACACUUCGUUCCAACUGGCAAUUUAAAUGUGGGGUUAGAUAAAUGCUACCAAAUAUGUUUCUUUUUCUUCCCACCGAUCCUUUGUGAAAAUUUAUCUGCAUAAGCAUAAAUGCUUUGAGAUAGUCUGAACUGAAAACUAUACCCAUGUUUUAGUCCAGCAAUUGCCCAGACUGUGUUUUGUACAUUGGUUUUCCCAUCAACAAGAUUUGUCCAAAUCAGUUGUUAUUAUAUAAUGUUUAGUUUAUUUCAUUAAAGCCAUUUCAUCUUAA